AGAAAAUUAGUUAAUAAUAUAACAUUAAUUUGUCAAAUUAAAAUCAUUGAACAUCAAUAUUUUCUA
rnacentral:tRNA from 1 species